rnacentral:rRNA from 1 species
UUACUUAAUAUACACAUGCAAGUCUCCGCACCCCUGUGAAAACGCCCUUAACCCCGCUAGGGAAAGGAGCCGGUAUGAGGCACGAAAAUCUGCCCAAAACACCUACAUACGCCACACCCUACAAGGGAACUCAGCAGUGAUUAACAUUUAAUAUAAGCUGACAGCUUGAUUCAGUUAAAGUAAAAUAGAGCCGGCUAAUCUGGUGCCAGCCGCCGCGGUUACACCAUGGGGCUCAAAAUUAAUUUCUAUCGGCGUAAAGCCGUGAUUAAAGUCUCUUUAAAGGGCUAAAUUGGAUAAAUUAGAAGACCCGUGUGAUUAAGAAACCCGAAAACGAAAGUUACCCCAAAUUAUACCAAGUUGAACUCACGAGAGCUAGAAUACAAACUGGGAUUAGAUACCCCACUAUGCCUAGCCGUAAACUUUAAAUUACAACAACAUCGCCCGAGGAACUACGAGCAACGACUAGAUUUCAUAAAGUCUUUCGUGUUUUCUAUAUUAGAAAGUGUAGCCCAUCUCUUAAUCCAUUUCAUUUGCUGCACCUUGACCUGACGUAUUGGUGUAAGGCAUUAAGCUCACUGAGUUUCGCUCACGUGGUAAGCUGACGACGGAGGUAUACAGGCUGAUUGGCUAAAAAUGGUGAGGUUAAACGGGGGUUAUCGAAUAGGACAGGCUCCUCUAGGGGGAUAUGGGGUAACCGUCAAGUCCUUUGAGUUUUAAGCUUUGCUCGUAGUUCUCAGGCGAUGUAGGUGUAAUUAAGGUUUACGGCUAGGCAAUAGGGUAUCUAAAUCCUAGUUUAACCC